rnacentral:rRNA from 1 species
UGUACCGCUUUUGGCCGGGAAGAAAAGGCGCGCGCUAACACCGCGUGUUCUUGACGGUACCGGCAGAAUAAGCACCGGCUAACUACGUGCCAGCAGCCGCGGUAAUACGUAGGGUGCGAGCGUUAAUCGGAAUUACUGGGCGUAAAGCGUGCGCAGGCGGUUCGCUAAGUUCGUUGUGAAAGCCCCGAGCUUAACUUGGGGAUGGCAAUGGAAACUGGCGGGCUGGAGUGUGGCAGAGGGGGGUGGAAUUCCACGUGUAGCAGUGAAAUGCGUAGAGAUGUGGAGGAACACCGAUGUCGAAGGCAGCCCCCUGGGCUAACACUGACGCUC